rnacentral:rRNA from 1 species
UACGAAGGGGGCUAGCGUUGCUCGGAAUCACUGGGCGUAAAGCGCACGUAGGCGGAUCUUUAAGUCAGGGGUGAAAUCCUGGAGCUCAACUCCAGAACUGCCUUUGAUACUGGCAAGCUUGGAGUCCGGGAGAGGUGAGUGGAACUGCGAGUGUAGAGGUGAAAUUCGUAGAUAUUCGCAAGAACACCAGUGGCGAAGGCGGCUCACUGGCCCGGUACUGACGCUGAGGUGCGAAAGCGUGGGGAGCGAACAGG